rnacentral:rRNA from 1 species
CACGUAGGCACCAAGCGUUGUCCGGAUUUAUUGGGCGUAAAGAGCUCGUAGGCGGUUGAGUAAGUCGGGUGUGAAAACUCUGGGCUUAACCCAGAGCCGCCACCCGAUACUGCUCUGACUUGAGUUCGGUAGGGGAGCAGGGAAUUCCUAGUGUAGCGGUGAAAUGCGCAGAUAUUAGGAGGAACACCGGUGGCGAAGGCGCUGCUCUGGGCCGAAACUGACGCUGAGGAGCGAAAGCGUGGGUGGCAAACAGG